CACCUGCGCUGCAAGAAGUUGGGGGAUCCUUCUGCAAAUCCUUGAGCUCCUUCAAGAUCCGUUUGGAAGCCAUCGAAGAAAAAUCCGAUCUUUUGACUAUCUUCGAGAGACCCAGAAAGAAAAAUAAAAUCAAAUUGAGAGAUGUAAACAAGGCAAAAACGCGCAGCGGUUGGUGAGAAUUUUACCUGCCGACGAGAGAGAGAGAGAGGCGAAGACUUGUUCAGUUGAUUCGCCUUUUUGCUUCUUGUUCAGCUGCCGCUUCUUGAUCUUGACGCGAUGAAGCUGAUUUUGAAGAAUAUAGCACUCAUUCACUCAAUAUUAGUAAUUAAUUAUUAAUAUAAAAUAAAAAUAUAAGUGCAAGAUUUUACUACUACUUUCUUUCCUUCAAAUGAUUGGACUGUUUUCAUGUGAUAUCGGCUUGUCUUGUUUCCCCUCCAAUAAUUUGUUAAUACAGUUCACAAAAUCUAAAAUAAAUAAAAAGAAAUGUAAAAUAUGACAUAUUUUAUUUAGUUUGUUGUUUAUGACAUUGUACCAUAUUAAUUUAGUGUCUCGCCUUCAAAUUUUUCUAUUUUUACUUAUUAUGUUUUAGUUUAAUUUUAUGAUUAUUAGUUAUGCAAUCCAAUUAUACUAUAUAAUUAUUAUUAUCGUUCAAUUUCACUUUUAUUAAUUAAUUAUAGGUUGAUAAAUUUAAAGUCAUGAUAUGUAGUAAUCUUUUAAUUUUUAAAAUUUUUUAAUUCAUAAUAUUAUACUCCCUUUGUCUCCCUAUUAUUGUCCCACUUAUUAUUUUAGGUUGUCUAAUUAUUAUUGUCCCAUUUCCAUAAAAAGUAAUAAUUAAUUCUUUAUAAGGUGUGAGUCAUACCACUUUUAAUUAAUUUACAAUUUUUUUUAAAAAAAAUCAUGUGCCCAAAUGUUUUGGGACAACGAAAUGGAAGGAGUAAUGAAUAUUCUUUUUAUGAAAAAUAUACUAUUAAAAUUAGUGAUAUAAUAAUAGGAGACGAUACACACAUAAAAUUGUGGAAUGAUUUUUCAGAAAAAGAGAAUAAAUUAUUUUACCCAUCUCCCCAAAAAGCAUGUUUUUCGGGUCAUUUUUUGUUGCUAUGUUAUAAAAUGAAAAGCACAAGAAAAAAAAAUUAACAAGUGAGUAUUGAUAAAUAAAAGUAAUAAUUUUUAUACUAAAAAAUAACAAUAGUAAAAAGGAAAUUGCUAUGAAUAAAAGUAGAUUAUACAAAAAAGUAACAAAAUUUUAAUUAAAAGUAACAAAUAUUAUGAUUAAAAAUUUAAUAGCGACUUCCCCUCAAAAAAAAAAAAAAAUUACUAGCUACAAUUGCACUUCGUGAAACAAUUUUUAAAAUUUCUAUUUAUCCAAUCCAAAAAUAAGUGACAAUUACAAAAGUGAUAUUAAUAAAUGUGACAAUAUUAAUGAAUAAAAGUGAUAGUUUAUAUAUACAAAAAUAAAUAGAUUGGAUUGUCCGAUCCGUGCGAUCCUUUUUAGUGAACGCUUCAAAAUUCGGGCCACAAACCAUACAAACCCAUUUCAUAUGCAGAUUGGGCUUUCAAGCAAACACAAAAGCAUUGAAAUUGGAGUAAUUCAAAGCAAAAAAAUAAGACUGCAAAUUUACCUAAAAUGAAAUCAAAACAAGAAUUGAUAAUAAACCAAAUCCAGUGUCUCUCUGGAUAGAUAUUCCAUACCAACAGUUCAAACGCAUGAUUUUGCAGCAGUUUUCAAGACUCUUAUACAUCAGUCCGUUGCAGGAACAGAGAGAAACAACACAUCAUUUUUUACAUAAUAAUAAUGCAAAUCUAAAUUCUUGAGGGCAUCAACCCAUGGCAUACUUCUGAGUCCAGCUCCGAGCAGUUUGCUCGUACUUGGCCCUAUCCGUCUUGUACAUAUGAGCAAUCUCCGGCACCAACGGGUCGUCAGGGUUCGGAUCCGUCAGGAGCGAGCAGAUUGAGAGCAACACCUGUCACCACAGACAACAUAGUAUAAGAAACAAAGUAUAAGGUGUUUGGCUAAGCUUAUUUUAGAGAACUUAUAAGACGUUGCACGAGCUUAUAAGCUAGAGAGAGAAAAUCCUAAUUGGAGAGAGAUGAAAUUGAAAGGGCAUAUGAUGAAAAUUUCACUUAUAACAUGUUUAGAAGCUUAUUUUGCCAAACACUUUUCAAGAGCUUAUAAGUUCAACCAAACACCCUCUAAGUCGGAAAUUUCAUUCAGUAGAGGCAUACGGGAACGCUGGUUAGACAAACAUCUGUGUCUCUUAGAAGUGGGAUAGGAAUUCAAGUAAAUCUUACACUUUUUUUUUAUUUGAGGGGAAGUAAAUCUUACACAUUUAAUUGAAUGAGAUUAAUUCAAGUCUAGUUCUUGUGCACAAGUUAUUUUAUUCUCUUGGAAGUUGGAACCAUAAAAUUCACAUUCUAGCUUGUUCUUUUUUCUCUUACUAAUUUCGUCUUCUAGGCAAGAUAUCGUCGGGCAAAGAGAGUUUCCUAAUCCUUUGCAUUUUGUUCCAGUAAAGAAGACACACAACAAAUAGCAGAAGCCACAUAAAUUUGUUAUUUUCAAGAAAGUCAUUUUUCCAUUUUGCAAGCGCAAAUAAGGCAGGCGUGCCAGCCAAACGGCACAUAUCUUGGGACGCAACUGCUUCAACAACUUGGUGGGUGGGGUGGGAGGGGUUGGGGUGGGGCAGGGGGAGGAGAGGAAUGUCCUAUCAAGAUGCUAAGAUGUUCUUAUAAGUUGUAUACGUGUAAUUUUUUUUAAUACUAAAUGACACGAGAAAAAGCACCGACGGAAUACAAAAGUAACCUUAGAUAUUGUCAAGGCGGGGCUCCACUGCUCCUUCAAAAUGUCGAGGCAUAUGCUACCAUUGCUGUUAAUGUUUGGGUGAAAAACCUUUGUCCUGAAUGCAACCUGCAAAAGUUCACCCAUAAGAAUAAUGAGGCAAGUCGGCUACACUCUCAAGCAUGAAAUUGCUCGGAACGUUACAAGAGAAGCCAACUAUAAGCAUUUGUCGCAAAUUCAAUACACAAUUCGGGGAGCUCUUCGUUACUAAUUCAAUUUCCUGCUUUAUUUAGCACUGUAUGCAGUGAUCUACAUAAUACAUAGAAUAUAGACAGAACAUUACGAGAAACUGUCAAGCAGUGGAGACAAAACUGAGAGGGAUGCUUGGAACGCAAAUGAGAUAAAUAUGAUGGUGGUAGGGAAUGGAAAAGGGUAUGGGUUUCAAAACUAUCCCCAAAUUCUUUAAAUCAAUUUUUUUCCUGAAAAGAUUCAAAUCAAGAACAUUAGAUUGUAGAGAAACAACGACCAGACACGCUCAAGAGUCGGGAGAGUUAAGAACAUAAUUCAGAUCCUCGUCAGAUUAUGAUAGCAUCAAACUCUAAAGCUCAAAAUACACAAAGUAUUAGUCUAUUAGACACAUAAAAUAAUCACAUUAAGGGACAUAGAAAAAUAGGCUCGUUGCAAUACAGCGGUCAGAAAACUAAUGGCCAGUAAAGUAUACCAUACAGACAAUUACUUGAGAAUUCCAUGGUAAGCAACCGAACUAAAAUUCAAAAAUCAAGAACAAAGACACGGAGAAUUUUCAUAUAAUGAUGAUUUAACAAUUUCAGAAAGAAUCUAACAAGCCACACCUUCGGAGGCUUGAAAGGGUAAUCGGGGGGGAAAUGAAUAGUGACUAAAAACACUCCUCCCGCAUACGGACUAUCCUGUGGACCCAUUAUCGUUGCCUGCCAGUGAAACAUGUCUUCACCAACAGGUCCUGUUACAACACCAAAUGAGUAUGAUUUCCAACUAGCAACCACAAUAGUUAAAUAAAGAAAAGGUACUUCAUAAAAACACGACUCUGACAUCAAAUGAUUUAUGAAUGGCUUCACAAAGUUGCAAGUUAGAUAUGAUCUGAAAACAGCAUAGCUCCAAUUCAAGUAUCUUAGAACUUUAGCAGCAACCUUGCUAUCAUUAAAACACCUAAAAUUCUAGUCUUUUUCCCCCCCUUUACCUUCUUAGCAGUUGGGCUGGCCUUCUCAACUUCCACUCAACAUCAAUGAUUACAGUUAGCAAAGAUUUUUCAGAAAAUGGUCAAAAACAACAAAAUUAGCCAACCCCACAAGACAUCGUGCCAUCUAAAGAUUAUUUAUCGCAAGAUUUUUACAAGACAAAAUGCAUAAAACAUCCAAAGUAAACUUCUCAAAAAAAAAAAACACAUCUAAAGUAAUAAACCAGGGAAGCCCAGAUGAAAAAAAUGUCAUUUUCUUGCACAUAUACAUUCAAAUGUCAUGGAUCCACCCUUAGAAUUCUCAAUCAGCAAAAAAAAAAAAUCAAUAAUCAACAAAAAACGCAUAUAGACACACAAAAUAAAGCUAAAUUAAAAUUAAGGAAAACCAAAAUUGAGAGAAAGACCUGCGCUGCAAGAAGUCGGGGGAUCCUUCUGCAAAUCCUUGAGCUCCUUCAAGAUCCGUUUGGAAGCCAUCGAAGAAAAAUCCGAUCUUUUGACUAUCUUCGAGAAACCCAGAAAGAAAAAUAAAAUCAAAUUGAGAGAUGUAAACAAGGCAAAAACGCGCAGCGGUUGGUGAGAAUUUUACUUGCCCAGAGAGAAGAGAGAGAGGCGAAGACUUGUUCAGUUGAUUCGCCUUUUUGCUUCUUGUUCAGCUGCCGCUUCUUGAUCUUGACGCGAUGAAACUGAUUUUGAAGAAUAUAGCACUCA
rnacentral:lncRNA from 1 species